rnacentral:sRNA from 1 species
GGAAGCAGCACUUGAAAGAACAGGAGCUAUGGCAGAACUCAACCCCACUGCUACUCAUGGGGUCAGGAAUGCUGAUGGAGGCUAAAGCAGAAGGAUCACUGUAACUUGGGGAGUGACUUCAAGGCCAGCUUCAGCAACUUAGUGGGACCCUGUCUCAAGUAAGUAAAAAGAAGACUGGAAUUAGAGCUCAAUUAUAAUAGAACACUUGCCUAAUAUGUAUGAGAAAAUAAAAGAAAAUGCACUAAUCUUUCUGUUCAAACUUUUUCUAGUUGUAGAAAUUUCAUUCUAUCAACAAAUAGUAGUGAUUUAAUAUAUCAAUUUGUUAUCAGACUUCCUUUGAAGCCUAGACAAAACUUUAAUGUAUUGUAAAGUCUCAGUUUUCUUACCCCUAAAGAAUUUAUAGGAAUUUAAGUGAUAAUAUAACGUGCAUUUGUUUGAAGUGUGACUGCUAAUAGUCAUUGAUUACUUUAUGAGAGCCAUUUUUCUGGAUUAGAAGUUACCACUAAGUAACUGCUUAGUGCACACACAUGUAUACAUUUGUAUUCAUCCUGUGUUUCAUUAUUUUUUUGCUUUUUGCUUCUCAGUUGGUUAUGUAUUACUAGAAACCUAGCCAUACUGAUUUAUGAUCUUCCUACUGGCAUAGGCCCUGCUCACUAAUAGUUCAAGAAGUAUGGCGUUCACAUAUUUGGUACUCACAGUAGUUCAUUUAUCUUUUGGUUUAGAUUUUAAUAGCUUUCACAGGCUGUUACUUUUUUUACUCCUAAUUUUUUCUUUUUAAUAUUCUGGCUUUGGGUUGAGGAUAUAUAUAGUUCAGACAAGUCCAUGAGUUAAAUUACCAGCACUGCCCUCAAAAUCUAAAAUCCUGGGCCAGUAUACAUGGCUGUUCGUAGCCUAAGAAAGCCUAGGUAACAAAACUUUUAAUGAAAUUUUAUUUGCAUGUUCCAUAUGUGUUUGUUAACAACACAAGUCUUAGCUGCUCUUCUGUUUUAUAGUAUAAAACUGAAGUCAUCAUCCAUUAUGGCAUUUUUCCUCUUCUAAAGUCACAAUAUGUGAUAGAGACUUUUGAACAUCGAAUUUGAGAGGAAAAGAUGAUCUUUUAUGAACGUAACAUCAGCUAUUGGAGUAUUAAUUAGAACUGUAUAGCUGUAUUACCAGAUUUUGUUCGUGGUGGAACUAGAGGCAUGUGUAUGCUAG